ACCCAGGUUUGGUUUUCAAACUGUUUCUGCAAAAUAUUUUGAAGCAGUACUGUCCUAGGCUGCUUCGGCUAGCAGAUUUUGCAACCACAGCAAAGAGAUUGUUAUUUACUGGAUAAUUAAUGCACUUUUACUUCCAGAUUGGGAUGGAAGGUUCAUAAAACGUGGCAAACCAAUUCCAUUGGGACGAGGAUGGGCUGCUCUGCCUUGGGCCAGUUUUGAUUGAUACUCUUUUCAUCUCCUGCCUGAGAGUCAACACCGCCUGGAUAGCAGCAAUUCCUAGUCUUUAAUCCUAGUCCCCAUCCAUACAGGAAAACUGCAUAUGGAAACCCCUGAGGCUGGAAAAUCUAAAACCACUAUGGGAUAUUCAAUAUUUCUAACUUUUGAUAGCUUGAAGGGAGUAUUUGGUGAAUCUGAAGGAAACAACAUUGCCUUUUGCAACUAACAUAAGGAACAAGAACCAUCUGAGAAUUUGCCACAGUUUAGAGAAGAGCCUAAUGCUGGGAACGACUGAGGGCAAAAGAAGAAGAGAAUGACAGAGAAUGAGGUGGCUGGAUGGAGUCACUGAAGCAGUCGGCGUGAGCUUAAAUGGACUCCAGGGGAUGGUAGAGGACAGGAAGGCCUGGAGUAACGUUGUCCAUGGGGUCGCGAUGAGUCAAACACGACUUUGCGACUAACAACAACAAAAAGAGAAUCUCCAAGUUUCAAAUCUUGGCAAAAAGGCUAAGAACUAAGUUGUAAAAACUAAAAUGCUGGACUUGAAAUGGUGAGAAAUACAUCUAGUUCUUGCUCAGCCAUGAAAUGCCCUGACUGGUUUGACACAUGUUUAACCCUGAAUCAGAACAACAAACACAACUGCAGUAUUCCAGUAUUCAGUAGGCUCAAACUAGAAACCCUUGUUAUGGCUUAAUAUGGUGGCCUUGUUAGAUCAACCUGCUAAAACAAGGUCUUGCUUCCCACAAGAUGCUGAACUCAAAUUUCCCAAAUUCAUUUUAGGCAACUCUAGACUACAGUGCGAAUUCAUCCCCAGUAAGGCUUUAGUUGCUAUGUUUGAGUGUAGCACAAUCCUCCACAAAAGUAAAGGGAGAUAUCAUAUGCAUGGAUUUGGGAGUUUGGAAACAGGUCAGCAUUAGAACAAAAUGCCAGUGAAGAGAGCCCUAGUCCCAAAAACUGAACUGCACAAUUUCACAAAAUAGGUAUUAGAUUGUAUCAUUUCAGAACACAGGUAGAAAGUUCUAAAAUAAAGCAUAGGAAAAAAGGUGAGGCUGUUUUUGUUUUGUUUUUGUUUGUUUUUUUCUAUAUAGGUAGAAGCUGUCCUUCCACCUAUCAAAACAGAUCCAUCUCAUAUUUUCUAACAGAGCGUAGGCACAGAAAUAUGAACAGAGAGAGGUCACCUGUUGGUGACCUUUGAGGUUACAAAUAGAGGUCCCAACAUACUUGGGUGCAAUUUCCUUCUCACUUCACCAUUCCAUUCUCUGCCUGAAAUGGCAGGUAACCUGAGAGGAGAAUGUGGUGUGCAAAUUGAUUUGGAGCCAAUCGAUGGUGUGGAGUAUGGCUCUGGCCAGCCGCUGUGUCACUGAUUGCCUGCAGAUCGAUUCUUAUGCCACUCUUGUUCAGCAUGCCUGCCGUGUCAGACAGAGAGGGGACAAAACAAGGGUGAGAAAGAGGCCAUGCGUUCUCCAGCAGCUUUCAAAGACAGCACACACACACACACACACACACACACACACACACACACCCAAAUUCCAGGAUGUGCAAAGAAACUUGAAAUCAAGUCUCUGCCAUUUUAUAGGCUCUUCCAGUAGGACCAGAAAAAGGAUGGAUUGUCUCCUUGUAUGUGGAAAUGAUUCAUUUGAGAAUACCAGGGAUUCAUUUGAUUUUUUAAAAUCAUGGUUUAGGUCAAGAAAAUAUGAAUAAAGCUACUAUUAUCUAAUACAAGGAAUCAGCAUUGGAUUAACUCAUAGAAGAUUACAGAAUAUAAUAUACAUGAUGAAUGUGAUCAAAGGAGGUUUUCCUCCAUCCAUAUCUUACCAAAGUAGACAUUCUUAGUUUUGUUGAUUGGUAGAAGUUGAUUCUGGACAAUCGAAAGUUUUUGAACAAAACACAUUAUUCAUCAAGAAAAGAUCUGGCAACCCAUCAUUCAAUUCAUGGAAGAGGCAGAUAUACAUCAAACCUGAUCGUUCCGUGACUGUCACUUCUUUACCCCAAAGAUGGUGGAGGCACCAGCUAUUAAUAAAGAUUUCAUAUGUACUAUGGCAUCACAUUCCAAUCCACCCCCCAAAAUUAAAGCAUAAUUUAUAAUCUGACAAUAUUAUAUACUUGCAUCUUGUAUACUGACCUAUAAUGAGAAGUUCUCCAGACAGUUUACAACAUGAACUAAGCCAAAUCCAUAAAACUAUAAAACAUAAUAUAUCCCAAAACUUAAAAUUUAAGGAGCAAAGAGUAAUGGUACGCUGAACAAGUUUACUAGAUUGUAAUAAAAUUUAGAGCCUAGAUAGCCUACUUGGUCAAAAUAAAGCCAAAUAUUUUAUAUUCAUUGUACUUAUUGCAUUGUAUUCAUUCGGAGUCUUUAUGAAAAGACCCAGAAAGUUUCUAAUGCUGGGAAAGGUGGAAGAAAAGAGAAUGACCAACAGCAAGGUGAAUGAACUCAGUUACAGUGGUGAUGGGUGCACCAUUGAAAGAGUAGAAGGACCAUGUGAGGGACAGAUUCUCCUGAGGAAAAAAUCUGUAUGCUUGCUAAGAGUUGACACCUACUUGACUGCAUGACCUCUGUAGAUGCCAUAUGCUAAAUAAAUAAAUAAAACUUA